GUCUGGUCCCAAGUCUAGGUACAAAAAAGCUCCCUAUAAGCCCAACCAUCAAGUCCUCAUGCAAAGGUUUCACCAAGUACCCAAAACUAGCCCAUCAUCAUAAACCCUAGGAUCUAAUGGGUAUUUGACCCGUAAAGAAGGAUCCAACCAUAGAAAGAUGCAUUGUUCAUGUACACGAGCCAAAAACUAUCGAGUCAUGGAUUGCCUGAGGAAGACAAUGAACGAACUUGAAAGCACAACUUCAGGAGAACCUCCAUUGAAGGAUGCCAAGCAACCUCUAUUAAGGAUAGGGAGAGACUCCGUCAAAAACAUAAUUACUUCUCCGGCGGGAUUUAAGCAAUAAACUUUAGUUCACCACUUGAUAAGCAGACACAAAAGAGCAAGAGUAGAGCUAAUUUAAGGCCAAGGCAUGAAAUUAGAGAUAUGACAAACUGAUAUACACGCUGCACGAAGGGUAAAGAUAGUAGAGUUAAUUAAACGGCAUCGUGGCCUUGAGGGUUAGCCAUGAGAGGCUAAGUUGGCUAAAGACCCCAGAGGCAUCAUCUUCCACAACCUUAGACCCAGUACCAAGUAAAUAUCAGAC
rnacentral:misc_RNA from 1 species